AUUCCUGUAGCGCAAUGGAUAGUGCAUUGGUCUUCUUAUCCAACGGUGGUGGGUUCGAAUCCCAUCUGGGAUG